rnacentral:rRNA from 1 species
AUGCUGCUGAUGCAGGUCACCGAGUUCUCCUGCGGAGGGUUCACCGUGGGCGUGACGUGGAACCACACGCUAGCCGACGCCACCGGCAUGGCGCAGUUCCUGCAGGCCGUGGGCGAGCUCACCCGCGCUGAAGCUGAUGCAUCGUCGGUGCCGUCCGUCACGCCGGUCAGGGACGGCCGCGCGGUGUCCCUUCCUCUGCUCUCGCCGCCGGUGGUCGCCGCGAAGCAGUGGCUCAUGCUGGACCUCGGAGGCCAGAGCCUCGUCUACCUAGAUAUCAUCGCCCCGCUCAAGCUCAUCGACCGCAUCAAGUCCGACUACAAGCCCGGGUACUGCACAACGUUCGAGGCCACGGCCGCCGUGCUGUGGCGGUGCCGCACACGCGCGAUCAUCGGUGACGACCCCGACGGCUAUGACAUGUCCACGCCGGCGCCGCUGGCCUUCACCGUGAACGUGCGCAAGCACGUGGGCGUGGCGGCAGGGUACUAUGGAAACUGCGCGGUCGCACAGCUGGCGUUCGCGACGACAGGAGAGGUGGCCGGCGCCGGCGCCGGGGACGAAGGCAUGAACGGCUUGGUGGAUCUGAUCAAGCGCGCCAAGGGCGGAGUCCCGGAGCUGCUGAGAGGCAUGACAGCCGGCGGCGGCGCGGUGGACGGGAUGGGGGAGGAGGAGAUAGCAGCGGCGUUCGGGUACAACGCGGUGAUGGUGACGAGCUGGCGGAACAUCAGGUUCGACGACGCCGACUUUGGCGGCGGCGCCCCGUUGAGGGUGGUGGCGCGUUGGCAGCAGUCCACGCUGCCGUGCAUGGCCUUAGUGUCCUGCAGGGCAGCCACGGCGGCCGACGGCGAGAGGCUGCUGACGCAGUGCGUCAGGGCGGAGCACGCCGCCGCGUUGCUUGGCGAGCUGGACCAGCUCGCACAUGCAUCGUGCGCCUGA